ensembl:lncRNA
AUGGCCUCGAGCAGUGUAACCCACCUGCUAAAGGAGGAGGGCAGGAUAGGCCCGGUGUUCAGCACGAAAGACCAGUGUGCGGUUGUGAAAAUCUCGAGAGAGGACACCAAGAGAGCCGUGGUGAACAUGAACAGCAUGACUCUAGUGGACUAUGUCGACAGAGAGGAGUACCCUGAACGGGCUCCGCGCUCGGACCAGUCUGUCUUUGUGCCAAUCUUCUGCAAUGAGUGCUACGGGACCAAAGAGGAGGAUUACUCAGAAGCGUUGGCUAGUAUCGUUUCAUCUGAGAGUACCAAGUUCCUGGUAGGCAUGUGUAGCGUGUUUGGGGUGGCACAGGGCGAGGUGUACCCAGAGUCGAGGAGAGAUUUUAUUGUCGGGAACGAAAUGUCGUACUCCGGAGCGUGUCACCUACAGCCCGGAAGGGUUGUGUUCCUUCACAAAGCCAACAAAGACAUCGGACGAGUCAAGUGUUACUGGCACGUCCACAGUAGGUCUGUUGACAAAACCUUCCUGUACUGCUGUGUCGCGUGCCACGAUAACGAGUACACCAACGGAGUUGUGAAGCCCGGGAUUAACAUGGGCUUCAGCUUAGGCACAGUGGGUGAAAAUAAGAGUGGUCCCAUCACGGAAGAAUGUAGUUUGGUCUCAGUGCCCAUGAGACCGGGAUGCUUUUGCAACCUGGUGACACGCGCGGAUCUGACCCAGAGCAUGACCAGGAUGGGGUUUUCCACUCGUAAGGAUUCGGUCCUGGACGCGGGUCUGGAUCUCAAGGAGACCGCUGAGGUCCACUGCCUUCAGUCCGAAACCCGCCCUGAUGCUUCGGACGAGAGCUCCUACGUGCAGAGCAUUACAGAGACCGUGGAAUCCCUGAGGAAGGCUGUGUUAGAUCAAGCCGUAGAGGUGCAAGUGCUCAAGGACGUGUUAGAGGCCAUCAAGAUUCAGAAUUGCGUACUAACACAGAGACUGAAAUGCCCCGAGGAUCCCGACACGCUGUUCACGAUGCAAGGGGCUAAGGAUUUUACCAGACGUACUGGCGUGGAAACUAAACUGUGCGCAGGUAUGAAACCUACUCACGUAGGUACUAACGCCACCGAAGUAACAGAGCCCACAGGAGAUACUCCGGUCCCUAAACCCGACCACAUGGAAGACACAAUGUCCAUUACACAAACCCAGAUUGAUAACCUUAUCAAAGCGUUACAGUCACAGCAGCAGUCUCUGCCUCAGCAACAUAAUCAGCAGUCGCAAGCUCAGCUACAAGCUCUACAGAGUUUCAUGCAGGUACCCCCCAUGUUCCAACAAUACACCCAACCCCAAACCCAACAUCUGUGGAAUCCUCAGCAACAACAGACAGCGCAAGGAUUCUACGGGGGACGGGCUCUCUACAACACAAGUGGUGUAACAAACCCGGGUGACCACAACUCACUUCAGUACGGGACUCUGACCGAAGAGCAAAAGAGGACUAUAGCUAUGGAGUAUAACAAGGAGGAAUCAGAGAGACAGGCGGCCUCGCAGAAAGAGCACGAUAAAAUGCUUGAUUCGAUCAAGGUCAUCGUAAGAGACACCAUACUAGAACGAGAGAGCAGCCCAGUGUAUCAAGAACCCUCCUCUAACCAGUGUAACAUGGACACUUUGCAGAGUUUAGCGAGGGACACCCCGUAUAAGCGUGCGCGCAAACAAACCAAGGAAGACCAGGAUCCCGGGGAUGUCAAAAAACUGCUAAACGAAUUACGAGAACUUACGAAGCAGAUCUCAAAGCGUGGCACUAGCCACUCGAUCGAGGAGAGCCACGACACGAUGGAACUGGAAGAGAUUAGGGAACCCACGCCCUGCGUGAGUAACGUACAACAGUCUCAGCCGUGCGCGCAACAGCCCAGUACGUCCCUAAUGAACAAGCAACAAGCUGGUUACUCGGUAACCUCCGGUGUAGGAAGCUCCUCCAAAGCUUCCAAUGCGGUUGCGGAUUUCAUCUCAUCGGUAGUGAAAAAGAUGUAA